CUCGGCGGCAGGAUAAAGCUUCAAGCAGCAGUAAGAACUCUAAUAAUGAGGAUGCUAGUACUGCAGGACCAAUACUGGAAAAUUCUCAACCUUCUGAAAAUGCUUCUGGGACUGCUGAUGUGUCUGAGGAGCACAAAGGAUCUUUGCCCACCAAGAUGGAUCCUUUAGCUCAGAAGUCUAAUGAUGGUGAACAUACAUCUCAAGAAAUUUCUUCUAGUACUGGUGAUUCUACAGAGACCUCAAAAAAUGAUGGCCAGACCUUUCAGUCAACUAUUGGUCUGCAUGAUGAGGAUGCUUCGUUUAGUGACAACUUUUUGGUUAAAGAUGAACUUUUGCAGGGAAAUGGGCUAUCCUGGGUAUUGGANNNNNNNNNCGAUAUGAGAGUGGAAGAAAAAAAGGAUGUUGGAACUGCCCAAAAACAGCCAGAUCCAGAGGUUUUCUGCAGGAACAGUGGAGAUCAAGUGGCUCUGUCCCCCCAAGUUUUGGCAUCUAAAAUUGAAGCCGAACUCUACAAAUUAUUUGGUGGAGUAAA
rnacentral:misc_RNA from 1 species